rnacentral:rRNA from 1 species
GAACGCACAUUGCGCCCAUUAGUAUUCUAGUGGGCAUGCCUAUUCGAGCGUCAUUUCAACCCUUAAGCCUAGUUGCUUAGUGUUGGGAAUCUGCCCUGUAUUUAUAGGGCAGUUCCUUAAAGUGAUCGGCGGAGUUAGGGCAUACUCUAAGCGUAGUAAUAUUCUUCUCGCUUCUGUAGUUGUCCUGGCGGCUUGCCGUUAAACCCCUAUAUUUCUAGUGGUUGACCUCGGAUUAGGUAGGAAUACCCGCUGAACUUAAGCAUAUCAAUAAGCGGAGGAAAAGAAACCAACAGGGAUUGCCCUAGUAACGGCGAGUGAAGCGGCAACAGCUCAAAUUUGAAAUCUGGCCCUAGCGGUCCGAGUUGUAAUUUGUAGAGGAUGCUUUUGGUUAGGUGCCUUCUGAGUUCCCUGGAACGGGACGCCAGAGAGGGUGAGAGCCCCGUACGGUUGGACACCGAGCCUCUAUAUAGCUCCUUCGACGAGUCGAGUAGUUUGGGAAUGCUGCUCUAAAUGGGAGGUAAAUUUCUUCUAAAGCUAAAUACCGGCCAGAGACCGAUAGCGCACAAGUAGAGUGAUCGAAAGAUGAAAAGUACUUUGAAAAGAGGGUUAAAUAGCACGUGAAAUUGUUGAAAGGGAAGCGUUUGCGACCAGACUUUUUCCAGGCGGAUCAUCCGGUGUUCUCACCGGUGCACUUCGCCUGGUUUAGGCCAGCAUCGGUUCUCUUAGGGGGAUAAAGGCCUGGGGAACGUAGCUCCUUCGGGAGUGUUAUAGCCCCUAGCGUAAUACCCUUCGGGGGACCGAGGAACGC